UACGUAGGUGGCAAGCGUUGUCCGGAUUUAUUGGGUUUAAAGGGUGCGUAGGCGGUCAAAUAAGUCAGUUGUGAAAUACGGCAGCUCAACUGUCGAGGUGCAAUUGAUACUGUUUGACUUGAGUACUGUUGAGGUAGGCGGAAUGGACGGUGUAGCGGUGAAAUGCUUAGAGAUCGUCCAGAACACCGAUAGCGAAGGCAGCUUACUAAAGAGUAACUGACGCUGAGGCACGAAAGUGCGGGGAUCAAACAGG
rnacentral:rRNA from 1 species